GAUGAGCGCUGGCGGCGUGCCUAAUACAUGCAAGUCGAGCGAAUGGAUUAAGAGCUUGCUCUUAUGAAGUUAGCGGCGGACCGGUGAGUAACACGUGGGUAACCUGCCCAUAAGACUGGGAUAACUCCGGGAAACCGGGGCUAAUACCGGAUAACAUUUUGAACCGCAUGGUUCGAAAUUGAAUGGCGGCUUCGGCUGUCACUUAUGGAUGGACCCGCGUCGCAUUAGCUAGUUGGUGAGGUAACGGCUCACCAAGGCAACGAUGCGUAGCCGACCUGAGAGGGUGAUCGGCCACACUGGGACUGAGACACGGCCCAGACUCCUACGGGAGGCAGCAGUAGGGAAUCUUCCGCAAUGGACGAAAGUCUGACGGAGCAACGCCGCGUGAGUGAUGAAGGCUUUCGGGUCGUAAAACUCUGUUGUUAGGGAAGAACAAGUGCUAGUUGAAUAAGCUGACACCUUGACGGUACCUAACCAGAAAGCCACGGCUAACUACGUGCCAGCCGCCGCGGUAA
rnacentral:rRNA from 1 species